UCCAUGCCGUAAACGGUGUAUACUAGAUGUGGGGGGAUUAAGCCCCCUCCGUGUCCAAGCUAACGCGAUAAGUAUACCGCCUGGGGACUACGGCCGCAAGGCUAAAACUCAAAGGAAUUGACGGGGACCCGCACAAGCGGUGGAGCAUGUGGCUUAAUUCGAGGCAACGCGAAGAACCUUACCUGGGUUUGACAUGUUUAGGACCGCUCUAGAGAUAGAGCUUUCUUUCGAGA
rnacentral:rRNA from 1 species